rnacentral:rRNA from 1 species
AUUGAACGCUGGCGGCAGGCCUAACACAUGCAAGUCGAGCGGAUGAAGGGAGCUUGCUCCUGGAUUCAGCGGCGGACGGGUGAGUAAUGCCUAGGAAUCUGCCUGGUAGUGGGGGAUAACGUCCGGAAACGGGCGCUAAUACCGCAUACGUCCUGAGGGGGAAAGUGGGGGAUCUUCGGACCUCACGCUAUCAGAUGAGCCUAGGUCGGAUUAGCUAGUUGGUGGGGUAAAGGCUUACCAAGGCGACGAUCCGUAACUGGUCUGAGAGGAUGAUCAGUCACACUGGAACUGAGACACGGUCCAGACUCCUACGGGAGGCAGCAGUGGGGAAUAUUGGACAAUGGGCGAAAGCCUGAUCCAGCCAUGCCGCGUGUGUGAAGAAGGUCUUCGGAUUGUAAAGCACUUUAAGUUGGGAGGAAGGGCAGUAAGUUAAUACCUUGCUGUUUUGACGUUACCAACAGAAUAAGCACCGGCUAACUUCGUG